GACGAACGCUGGCGGCGUGCCUAAUACAUGCAAGUUGAGCGCUGAAGGUUGGUACUUGUACCAACUGGAUGAGCAGCGAACGGGUGAGUAACGCGUGGGGAAUCUGCCUUUGAGCGGGGGACAACAUUUGGAAACGAAUGCUAAUACCGCAUAAAAACUUUAAACACAAGUUUUAAGUUUGAAAGAUGCAAUUGCAUCACUCAAAGAUGAUCCCGCGUUGUAUUAGCUAGUUGGUGACGUAAAGGCUCACCAAGGCGAUGAUACAUAGCCGACCUGAGAGGGUGAUCGGCCACAUUGGGACUGAGACACGGCCCAAACUCCUACGGGAGGCAGCAGUAGGGAAUCUUCGGCAAUGGACGAAAGUCUGACCGAGCAACGCCGCGUGAGUGAAGAAGGUUUUCGGAUCGUAAAACUCUGUUGGUAGAGAAGAACGUUGGUGAGAGUGGAAAGCUCAUCAAGUGACGGUAACUACCCAGAAAGGGACGGCUAACUACGU
rnacentral:rRNA from 1 species